rnacentral:rRNA from 2 species
GACGAACGCUGGCGGCGUGCUUAACACAUGCAAGUCGAACGGUAAGGCCCCAGCUUGCUGGGGUACACGAGUGGCGAACGGGUGAGUAACACGUGGGUGACCUGCCCCGCACUUCGGGAUAAGCCUGGGAAACUGGGUCUAAUACCGGAUAGGACCGCACCGUGAGGGUGUGGUGGAAAGUUUUUCGGUGUGGGAUGGGCCCGCGGCCUAUCAGCUUGUUGGUGGGGUAAUGGCCUACCAAGGCGGCGACGGGUAGCCGGCCUGAGAGGGUGGACGGCCACAUUGGGACUGAGACACGGCCCAGACUCCUACGGGAGGCAGCAGUGGGGAAUAUUGCACAAUGGGCGGAAGCCUGAUGCAGCGACGCCGCGUGGGGGAUGACGGCCUUCGGGUUGUAAACUCCUUUCACCAUCGACGAAGGUUUUCUGACGGUAGAUGGAGAAGAAGCACCGGCUAACUACGUG